GUGGGGAAUAUUGGGUAAUGGGCGAAAGCCUGACCCAGCAACGCCGCGUGAAGGAAGAAGGUUUUCGGAUCGUAAACUUCUAUCCUUGGUGAAGAUAAUGACGGUAGCCAAGAAGGAAGCCCCGGCUAACUACGUGCCAGCAGCCGCGGUAAUACGUAGGGGGCAAGCGUUGUCCGGAAUGAUUGGGCGUAAAGGGCGCGUAGGCGGCCUGGUAAGUCUGGAGUGAAAGUCCUGCUUUUAAGGUGGGAAUUGCUUUGGAUACUGUCGGGCUUGAGUGCAGGAGAGGUAAGUGGAAUUCCCGGUGUAGCGGUGAAAUGCGUAGAGAUCGGGAGGAACACCAGUGGCGAAGGCGACUUACUGGACUGUAACUGACGCUGAGGCGCGAAAGUGUGGGGAGCAAACAGGAUUAGAUACCCGGGUAGUCC
rnacentral:rRNA from 1 species